rnacentral:rRNA from 1 species
GACGAACGCUGGCGGCGUGCUUAACACAUGCAAGUCGAACGGAAAGGCCCUGCUUUUGUGGGGUGCUCGAGUGGCGAACGGGUGAGUAACACGUGAGUAACCUGCCCUUGGCUUUGGGAUAACUUCAGGAAACUGGGGCUAAUACCGGAUAGGAGCUACUGCUGCCUGGUGGGGGUUGGAAAGUUUCGGCGGUUGGGGAUGGACUCGCGGCUUAUCAGCUUGUUGGUGGGGUAGUGGCUUACCAAGGCUUUGACGGGUAGCCGGCCUGAGAGGGUGACCGGCCACAUUGGGACUGAGAUACGGCCCAGACUCCUACGGGAGGCAGCAGUGGGGAAUAUUGCACAAUGGGCGGAAGCCGGAUGCAGCAACGCCGCGUGCUGGAUGACGGCCUUCGGGUGGUAAACCGCUUUCGCCUGUGACGAAGCGUGAGUGACGGUAAUGGGUAAAGAAGCACCGGCUAACUACGUG